CAAUCAUUCUUGGAGGCGGGGACAAAGAAGUUGAUAAAACAUAAGUCACACCUCGAAAUAUCCAUUGAGCGAGGUAAGCUCAAGCUACUGGGUUAACGACAUCUGCUUUCACCAAAAACCUCUUCGCCAAGAUGAGGCUGGUCUCGUGGAUACUAGUUUUUGCUUUGCUUUAUGGAUGCUUUGCCAAGGAGAACACUCAAGAAAGCUCGAACACUGAAGAUGAGAAGCUCGACAUCAAGCCGCGCGCAUAUUACCCCCCAUCAGAAUGCAGAUCGUACAAAAUGUUACACGGAGCCGAUCGUGCAAUGGCCAAUACCGCACAAAAUGCCCUCCGCUGUGACAGGAAUGAGUUUCCAGGUAACCAGUGGUACCGUUUCACUGGACAAGCAGGCAAUGCUAUGCCAACAAGUUGUGUACCUGAAAAACGCUGUGGAACCCACGCGCCUGGGUGGAUGGUGGGAGCUCAUCCCACUGUAGCCCAAGGUAUGGUGACUCGCAAGGUGUGCUACCACUGGACUAAAAACUGCUGCAGAUGGAGCAACUACAUCAAAGUCAGGAACUGCGGUGCAUUCUACGUCUACCAGCUUCCCAAGACACCAGUGUGCUGGCUUCGCUACUGUGGCAACGGCAUUCCUCAACCACCUGAGUGCCGAAGAUACACUGUCUUCAACAGCUUUGACCGAGCGAUUGGCAAUACCGCACAGAAUAGCCUCAAGUGUGACCAGAGAGACCUUCCUGGUAAUCUCUGGUACCGCUUCCUCGGCGCAGCAGGAAAUGCCAUGCCAACAAGUUGUAUACCUGUAAAACGCUGUGGUACCCAUGCCCCUGGAUGGAUGGUCGGAUCUCAUCCCAGCCUUCAUUACAGCCUGGUGACACGCAAGGUGUGCUAUCACUGGAGUGGAAGCUGCUGCAGGUGGAGCAACUACAUCAAAGUCAGGAACUGUGGCGGAUUCUACGUCUACCAGCUACCCAAGACACCCGUCUGUUGGCUUCGCUACUGCGGCAAUCGGGUAUCGCCUCCACCUCCUCCUACUCCUCCAGAGUGCCGAAGAUACACUGUCUUCAACAGCUUUGACCGAGCGAUUGGCAAUACCGCACAGAAUAGCCUCAAGUGUGACCAGAGAGACCUUCCUGGUAAUCUCUGGUACCGCUUCCUCGGCGCAGCAGGAAAUGCCAUGCCAACAAGUUGUGUACCUGUGAAACGCUGUGGUACCCAUGCCCCUGGAUGGAUGGUGGGAUCUCAUCCCAGCCUUCGUUACAGCCUGGUGACACGCAAGGUGUGCUAUCACUGGAGUGGAAGCUGCUGCAGGUGGAGCAACAACAUCAAAGUCAGGAACUGUGGCGGAUUCUACGUCUACCAGCUACCCAAGACACCCGUCUGUUGGCUUCGCUACUGCGGCAAUCGGGUAUCGCUUCCACCUCCUCCUACUCCUCCAGAGUGCCGAAGAUACACUGUCUUCAACAGCUUUGACCGAGCGAUUGGCAAUACCGCACAGAAUAGCCUCAAGUGUGACCAGAGAGACCUUCCUGGUAAUCUCUGGUACCGCUUCCUCGGCGCAGCAGGAAAUGCCAUGCCAACAAGUUGUGUACCUGUAAAACGCUGUGGUACCCAUGCCCCUGGAUGGAUAGUCGGAUCUCAUCCCAGCCUUCGUUACAGCCUGGUGACACGCAAGGUGUGCUAUCACUGGAGUGGAAGCUGCUGCAGGUGGAGCAACUACAUCAAAGUCAGGAACUGUGGCGGAUUCUACGUCUACCAGCUACCCAAGACACCCGUCUGUUGGCUUCGCUACUGCGGCAAUCGGGUAUCGCUUCCACCUCCUCCUCCAGGUUGGUGUUUUUUUGUGUUUAUGCCGAGAGUGCCGAAGAUACACUGUCUUCAACAGCUUUGACCGAGCGAUUGGCAAUACCGCACAGAAUAGCCUCAAGUGUGACCAGAGAGACCUUUCGGGUAAUCUCUGGUACCGCUUCCUCGGCGCAGCAGGAAAUGCCAUGCCAACAAGUUGUGUACCUGUAAGACGCUGUGGCACCCAUGCCCCUGGAUGGAUGGUCGGAUCUCACCCCAGCCUUCGUUACAGCCUGGUGACACGCAAGGUGUGCUAUCACUGGAGUGGAAGCUGCUGCAGGUGGAGCAACAACAUCAAAGUCAGGAACUGUGGCGGAUUCUACGUCUACCAGCUACCCAAGACACCCGCCUGUAUGCUUCGCUACUGUGGCCGUGGCUACUAAAGUAAUCAAAUAAAAUAUGCUUUGUCAACAACAGAAACGGAACGGAACGGAAAAUGAAGUCUGUAUAGCUGCUCUGAUGUUUCGACAUCAAGAGAUCUCUUCCAGAGUUGUGUUAUGUGGAGCAGGGUCAUAGCAGCAUUGCUCGAAACUUGAACCACAGGAACAUUACCACUUAGUACUUUUACAAUAAAUGAGCAUUUAAAAA